AGAGUUUGAUCCUGGCUCAGGACGAACGCUGGCGGCGUGCUUAACACAUGCAAGUCUACGAGAAAGAGGUAGCAAUAUCUCAAGUAAAGUGGCGCAAGGGUGAGUAAUAUGUAAGUAAUCUACCUAUGGGUUCGGAAUAACGUCGAGAAAUCGGCGCUAAUACCGAAUAAUGCAGCGGCAUCGCAUGAUGAUGUUGUUAAAGUUGUCCCGACUUGUCGGGAUAACUCCUAUAGAUGAGCUUGCAUCUGAUUAGCUAGUUGGUAGGGUAAUUGCCUACCAAGGCUACGAUCAGUAGCUGGUCUGAGAGGAUGAUCAGCCACACUGGAACUGAGACACGGUCCAGACUCCUACGGGAGGCAGCAGUGAGGAAUAUUGGGCAAUGGACGGAAGUCUGACCCAGCAACGCCGCGUGGAGGAUGAAUGCCGUAAGGUUGUAAACUCCUUUUGAAGGGGACGAAUAUUCAAGUUCC
rnacentral:rRNA from 1 species